UACGGAGGGUGCAAGCGUUAUCCGGAUUCACUGGGUUUAAAGGGUGCGUAGGAGGGCAGGUAAGUCAGUGGUGAAAUCUUCGAGCUUAACUCGGAACUGCCGUUGAUACUAUCUGUCUUGAAUACCGUGGAGGUGAGCGGAAUAUGUCAUGUAGCGGUGAAAUGCUUAGAUAUGACAUAGAACACCAAUUGCGAAGGCAGCUCGCUACACGAAUAUUGACUCUGAGGCACGAAAGCGUGGG
rnacentral:rRNA from 1 species